UUAGCUAUUUGCUGGGCUGUUCCCAGAACCUCUUCUCCAGAAUCUAGUUAAGCCCCGCUUCUUCUAUAGCAUUUUGGGGUCAUGGAGCACUUUGAGAAUCUCAGCCUCACACCCCAUGUAUGUAACUACAUAUACAUGAGACUGCAUUCAGUUUCAGGAGGUUCGUGGUCCGGCCACAAAGUUAACAACCGCUGUGUGUUACGUUGCCUUGAGCAAGGAAUUUUGUUAAUGAGAAAAGCAGGAAGUCUGGCAGCUAAGCAAGCACACAGGAGAAAUGAAACCAGGGCCCUGCACACAUCCCCAACCUGGGAAAACAGUCCUGCAUUCUGAUUGAUCAGCCAGUGCCACAUGGACCCAUACCAAUACAUUGUUUCAUCUGGUCUUGUGACCUCCACCCAAGAAUGGACUCAGCACCUGAAGACAGCUCUGACCCCCUGUUAUUU
rnacentral:lncRNA from 1 species